UAGGUUAUGUGAAAAGUCACCUAUAUGUC
rnacentral:sRNA from 1 species